CCUGGUUGGGUCUGAAAAAGGAUGGCAGCACCUGGUCCACACAGCUGUACUUCAUUUAGAGAGCAAUUUGAAAAGAGCGAGAGGGAGACAAGAGGAGCGCGGCAGCCUUGUCAUUAAGGUCUGCAGAAUGGCCUCCGUUUGUUCGACACAUGGCACGGAGUUAAUGCCUCUGAAUGGGGAGCCGUCAGCAUGGUCGCCGUCACGAAAUUUUCUUUAAGUGUUGACAACAUGUAGAAAGCCACUCCAAGAAGCAGCAAAAGUCACGUUUCUAUGGUUCCUCGUCUACCGAAGUCUUCCUUGCUGUUUGAGAUUAAAUAAAAGCUUUCUCGCGUUUCAUUUCCUGACAUUUAUAAAAGCACGCAGCGCACUUUGGGUUUUUAAUUUUCAGAAGAAUUACGACUUGAGCUGCAGAGGCAGUCAUUUUUAGAUAAACUGUCGCGGUGCAGACUAGCUUCCUGGAUGCUGCGGAACCUCUCUCGAGGUGAUGUAAUUGGAUUUGACGUGCACAUGUGCAAGGGGAGAAAAAAUGGUGAAGUACGAUCAAAGGCAAUGCAGGGUGUGGGGAGCACUCUCAGGCUUGGAUUAGAGGCGAGGAGAGGAGAGGGGACCGGAGAGGAGAGGAGCUGCACACCUGUCAGGUGUGGCUGGCUGGCUCGCUCGUAAUGGCGCCUGGACUCCCCACCACCAACUGGCCCCACAAAAGCUGCACGCCGCAGAUGAGUCAGAAUACCCCGAAUCACCAGCACACAUGGACCUGACGCGAGAACAUACGAGCCGGGAGAAGCAGCUGCGUUGCUCCGGUUGUGAGUCCGACCCCGCGCCGCCCUGCUGGGGUUCCUGUUGCACAGCUGGGCACCCGUGACCCGCCUCUCCUCUCCGCUCUAAUUUUACCCAGAACCACGGCGCUCACUGCUGCUUCCACCCUAUGCAGAUCUUCACCAAGCAAUGGUCUUUGUUUUAUUGACAGCACAGCUCUUUAAAGCUACUGAAGAGCCAACAUCCUACAUAUUGGCUAUAUAUGUACAACAUCACGUGUGAGGUGA
ensembl:lncRNA